GAUGAACGCUGGCGGCGUGCUUAACACAUGCAAGUCGAACGAUGAAGCCCAGCUUGCUGGGUGGAUUAGUGGCGGACGGGUGAGUAACACGUGAGUAACCUGCCCUUAACUCUGGGAUAAGCCUGGGAAACUGGGUCUAAUACCGGAUAGGAGCGUCCACCGCAUGGUGGGUGUUGGAAAGAUUUAUCGGUUUUGGAUGGACUCGCGGCCUAUCAGCUUGUUGGUGAGGUAAUGGCUCACCAAGGCGACGACGGGUAGCCGGCCUGAGAGGGUGACCGGCCACACGGGGACUGAGACACGGCCCAGACUCCUACGGGAGGCAGCGGUGGGGAAUAUUGCACAAUGGGCGCAAGCCUGAUGCAGCGACGCCGCGUGGGGGAUGACGGCCUUCGGGUUGUAAACCUCUUUCAGUAGGGAAGAAGCGAAAGGGACGGAACCUGCAGAAGAAGCACCGGCAAACUACGU
rnacentral:rRNA from 1 species